GCCCCUGUAGCACAUUGGCUAGUGCGUUGGACUUCUAAUCCAAAGGUCGUGGGUUUGAAUCCCACCUGGGAUG
rnacentral:tRNA from 1 species